UACGUAGGGACCAAGCGUUGUUCGGAUUUACUGGGCGUAAAGGGCGCGUAGGCGGCAUGACAAGUCACUUGUGAAAUCUCUGGGCUUAACCCAGAACGGCCAAGUGAUACUGUCGCGCUAGAGUGCGGAAGGGGCAAUCGGAAUUCUCGGUGUAGCGGUGAAAUGCGUAGAUAUCGGAAGGAACACCGGUGGCGAAGGCGGCACGCUGGGCCUCACCUGACGCUGAGGCGCGAAAGCCAGGGGAGCGAACGGG
rnacentral:rRNA from 1 species